CUUUUUUCCUUUUAUUUUCUUUCCUCUUCGCCGAUUUUCCCAACCCGCGCCCCUGCACCGAUGUCGUUUCUUCUUCCCAUCCCCAACUGCCGCCGCCGCUGCUAGCGACACCUCCUCUUCUCCCCAAGCCUUACAAAACCCCUCUCCAACGCAUAGCAGCGGCGAUCCUUCCUCUUCCCCUUUUUGCUCCCGCAACGCCGAAGUCUCCUCUUCACCGAGCCGCUCUUUCUCCGAAUUGCGCCGCCCCCUUUCUUGUGCAUCCUUGCCCUAGAUCAACCUCCCGCUCGCCACUGGCUACUGCCGACCAUCAAAUCGGGAUACUCCAACCUCUCUGAGCCUAGCCGACGAUCCACCAUCAGCGUAUCCUCCGUGACCACUAGCAGAUCAGAGCGGCGAUAGGAGUGGAGACCAGCUCUCUCUCAGCCUCUACGCAUCAAGCAACACCAGAUCUGCCACCCAUCCAGUGACUUCGCCGGCGUAGAUUUAUCACAGCCGUGCCCUAGCUCUAGUAAUGUAACAGCAAAGGUUGUGUGCUGUGGAUCAACAAUCAAGGUUGUGAGGUGGAGUAGGAUUGGUUGUGGGGUUGUUCAUUUGUUCCGGCCAACAACUUAGGGUUGUUUGAGGUAGCCUUACUCAGCUGCGGCCACCGUCUUACAGCUGUGGACUCCUCCGGUCGAGAGCCUAUUAGCUACCACAGAUUUUGGACGCUGAUUUAUGACGAGUUGCCUUACGUGGGAUUUCCUUUGGCACACGCGAUAUUUGAGGCGGGU